UCAUGAUAACGCAAAAGUUAACUAAAACAUGUAUGGAGUUGGAACACUUGCCUAUGUUUGCCGCUAGGGGCGCUGUUCCAACUGCCUACAAAUUUGAGUUAACUUUUACGCUAUCGA
rnacentral:pre_miRNA from 9 species